UGAGGAAUAUUGGACAAUGGGCGCAAGCCUGAUCCAGCAAUGCCGCGUGCAGGAUGAAGGCCUUCGGGUUGUAAACUGCUUUUGUACGGAGCGAAAAGGUCUGCCCUAAUACGGUGGGCUCAUGACGGUACCGUAAGAAUAAGCACCGGCUAACUACGUGCCAGCAGCCGCGGUAAUACGUAGGGUGCGAGCGUUAAUCGGAAUUACUGGGCGUAAAGCGUGCGCAGGCGGUUAUAUAAGACAGAUGUGAAAUCCCCGGGCUCAACCUGGGACCUGCAUUUGAGACUGUAUAGCUAGAGUACGGUAGAGGGGGAUGGAAUUCCGCGUGUAGCAGUGAAAUGCGUAGAUAUGCGGAGGAACACCGAUGGCGAAGGCAAUCCCCUGGACCUGUACUGACGCUCAUGCACGAAAGCGUGGGGAGCAAACA
rnacentral:rRNA from 1 species